AAAACAAGUUAUGUGCUUGUUAUAGCCUGUCCUGGGCAAAAUUACCCACCUGGUGACAGUGACAGCCAAGUAAGAGGUCCCUGAGAGCCGAGGCCAAGGAGCGUGGAGCAAGGGAGGACAGACCCUGGGGCAAGACGUCCAGGGCCUGAGACUGUGGUGCCACAGGCCUGGUACCAUCCACUGCCUCCGAGUGACUUCUACUGAUUUCUGUGACAACAGCCUUCUUGCAACUGAACGGAUGACUUCAUAGAGGACAGAAAUCCGUGUGUAGUGCGUGUUCUCACAGGUUCCCGUAUGCAUCGAAUACGGUGCUUGCUUUACAGAAAGGGGAGCACAGACCUCUGAAUGGAAGGAAGCUCCGAGACGGGUGCUCUGCCCACCAACACCCUCGUCACCUCUUUCCACGUUUCCAUAGCAACGGUGGGGAGAGAGAUCAACAUCUGCCCUCUCUACUAGAUUCCUCUGCAAGGCAGGGACCCUAUGCCUGCUGGACUCUGUUCGGGAAAUAAUCUGUUAAAGAAACAUCUGCAUUGUCUCCCAAGCCCUGUGGAACCAUCCUUGCAGGCCAGACUGUUUCUUCUUACAGCUGACCCCUAAUGUGGGCUUUCAAAUGAUUUGAUAAUGAACUGAGACUGUGACCCCGGCCUCAUCCCAGCCCCCACAGGAAGUGCAGCACAAUGUUGCCUGCUGCCUUGAAAUCUAACAAAGGCCCAAAGCUGAAGAGUGGAAAGUCUUUCAUGCCCAAUCAGUGCUUGUGCCCAGUUAUGGUUCCUGAAGCUGCUGCAGCGGUCCUGGCUUCAGAUGUGGCUUCAGGGAGAGGAAGAGAGGAAGAGACUUGGAUCUGAAGGAACCUGUUUUUCAGCCAAGAAGAGAACAGGAGAAAUGAAGAUAUGGCCUAUGUGGUAUCCUCCAUUAGCAGAAUUGUGAACAAAGUUGUAUCAAGAAUUUCAAUUCGGACAGAGACAAUAUUAAAAUGGAUUGAGACUGGAAUGGAGUGAACAGAUUUGUGAGAUUCAAAUUAUCUUUAAUGGUCAAACUUAUGAAUUCUUCAUUGGUCAAAUAAUCCUGUGUGUUCAUCCUUUGCUUUUCUUUUUCUCAAUCUGAUUUACAAGAGAUUAGCAUGCACCUAAUUUAUAAAUAGCUAUGAUGAAGAGGGAUACAUUUUAACUUCAAAUAAAACCAAUGUAAGGCACAACUAUUCAGGAAUAUUUUAUAUUUUCAAAGUAUUUAGGAAUAGUUUAAUUAGAAAAAUAAAGGCAAUGGGAUUAUCUAUCAGGUUCUAAAAGUACCCAGGAAUUAAAUCACUCCCCCCAACAAAACAAAACCUUAAAUCACAUUGCUAUUAAGCUUUCUUACAGUAAAGAAUAAAACCAAACUAUGCUGAAGUACAAAAUCCUGAAAUUCUGAGCAUGAAAAUAAUUUAUUGACUAGACAUCUGAUUUAUUCAAGCAGUAGGCCUACUGAACACAGCUAUGGAGUAGGAAAAAAAAAAUUCCAUCCAGCACCUGCAUUAUUUCAAAUUUCCUGGGGACAGUUUAUGCACUCUGUAUUACAGCCUCACCCUAAAACACCCACGUGCUUGAUGUGGAUUAAGUUUUUAAUAAAAGGACAUGAGAAACUGUGUAUACCCAAGUUGGCAAGUUAUCAUUAAUGAUAUGACUUUGAGAAAUAUUCUUAGGCACAAUAGCACUGCCUGCAGUGACAGUCUUUGAUAAUCAAAGAAAAGACUACCAUUAAAAGAUAAUCUUACAAGUAGAAAGGAAAAAUAUAUGCACCUUUGCCAAUGGAUAUCUUUACAUAUUGCGGAGAAUGUCAUGAGAUUUUCCUUCUGUGAGAUUAAAAAUUACCUUUAACUGACAUCAACUUUUAAUGGAUACCUAAAUAUUAAAAAUCAGACAAAAAUAAAACAAAUUCAACCUAAAUACAAUUUAGGGAAGAAAUGCAGGACUAAUCAUACGAAAAAAUAGCUGCACUUCUUUGGCUAACUCAGUAAAAAAUGCCAAUUGAACAUUUUCAGUCAAAUUUUAUUUUAAAAAAGCAGC
ensembl:lincRNA